rnacentral:rRNA from 1 species
AUUGAACGCUGGCGGCAUGCCUUACACAUGCAAGUCGAACGGCAGCACGGGUGCUUGCACCUGGUGGCGAGUGGCGAACGGGUGAGUAAUACAUCGGAACGUACCUUAUCGUGGGGGAUAACGCAGCGAAAGCUGUGCUAAUACCGCAUACGCCCUGAGGGGGGAAAGCGGGGGAUCGCAAGACCUCGCGCGAUUAGAGCGGCCGAUGCCUGAUUAGCUAGUUGGUGGGGUAAAAGCCCACCAAGGCGACGAUCAGUAGCUGGUCUGAGAGGACGAUCAGCCACACUGGGACUGAGACACGGCCCAGACUCCUACGGGAGGCAGCAGUGGGGAAUUUUGGACAAUGGGGGCAACCCUGAUCCAGCAAUGCCGCGUGAGUGAAGGAGGCCUUCGGGUUGUAAAGCUCUUUUGUCAGGGAAGAAACACCGGCUCUAACACAGUCCGGGAAUGACGGUACCUGAAGAAUAAGCACCGGCUAACUACGUGCCAGCAGCCGCCGUAA